rnacentral:rRNA from 1 species
UCGCUGGGUAGCUAUGUGUGGACGGGAUAAGUGCUGAAAGCAUCUAAGCAUGAAGCCCCCCUCAAGAUGAGAUUUCCCAUAGCGCAAGCUAGUAAGAUCCCUGAAAGAUGAUCAGGUUGAUAGGUCAGAGGUGGAAGCGUGGCGACAUGUGUAGCUGACUGAUACUAAUCGAUCGAGGACUUAACCAAAC